rnacentral:rRNA from 1 species
GACGAACGCUGGCGGCGUGCUUAACACAUGCAAGUCGAACGGAAAGGCCCUGCUUUUGUGGGGUGCUCGAGUGGCGAACGGGUGAGUAACACGUGAGUAACCUGCCCUUGACUUUGGGAUAACUUCAGGAGACUGGGGCUAAUACCGGAUAGGAGCUCCUGCUGCAUGGUGGGGGUUGGAAAGUUUCGGCGGUCGGGGAUGGACUCGCGGCUUAUCAGCUUGUUGGUGGGGUAGUGGCUUACCAAGGCUUUGACGGGUAGCCGGCCUGAGAGGGUGACCGGCCACAUUGGGACUGAGAUACGGCCCAGACUCCUACGGGAGGCAGCAGUGGGGAAUAUUGCACAAUGGGCGGAAGCCUGAUGCAGCAACGCCGCGUGCGGGAUGACGGCCUUCGGGUUGUAAACCGCUUUCGCCUGUGACGAAGCGUGAGUGACGGUAAUGGGUAAAGAAGCACCGGCUAACUACGUG